UACGUAGGGUGCGAGCGUUAAUCGGAAUUACUGGGCGUAAAGCGUGCGCAGGCGGUGGCUCAAGCCAGGCGUGAAAUCCCCGGGCUUAACCUGGGAAUGGCGUUUGGGACUGGGUCGCUAGAGUGUGGCAGAGGGAGGUGGAAUUCCACGUGUAGCAGUGAAAUGCGUAGAUAUCGGAAGGAACAUCAGUGGCGAAGGCGACCUUCUGGACAGAUACUGACGCUGAGACACGAAAGCAUGGGUAGCGAACAGG
rnacentral:rRNA from 1 species